AAGGUUUUGAUGACCAGUUGCGUGUUCCAUACCAUGAUUGACGGUGUGGAUUUAGUUGGAAUAUUAAAAGAUUUCUUUUUGUUCUUCGAUUAUAGGAUUGAGUGAAUUUUGUAUGGUAAUCGUGGCAUAGGUUGCAAUUUUGGCUUCGCAUUUUUGGUUUAUUGUGAUUUUUAAAAGGUCAUUAGAGAUCAAUGAAAGAUGUUAGUGGAUUUUUUUCUGUAUAUGAUAUUAUUUUCGUAUUUAUUUGAAAUGGUGAAGAAACAGAAAAAAGUAAAGAGCGAGGUGGUGAUGGAGAAGGUGGAGAAGAAAAUAAAAAAGAAGGCAAAGGGGAAAAAGAAGGAGAAUGUAAGCGAAGAAGAUGAUAAAGUUGUUGAAGAGGUGUUUGUUUGAAAAUUGGAUAACCCAUUCACGUGGGUUGCGGAGUCUGUUAAGAGUUGAGUUUCUGUGUUUGGUGAUAAAAAUAGCAUUGCUCAAUUAGGUGAUCAUGAAAGUUGGGUUAGAGAGGGUGAAGUUGUAAAAGUUGAGUUUUUGCACUGCUCUUCUACUGAUCGUGUAUACUAUAGGGGUGGAGGGUUUAAGUUUUUCUUUAUGUAUAGUUGUAUUUUUUGUUAAACUACGAGUUAAAUUUCCUUUUUUUGAGUUUGAACAUGGAGUUUUGAUGCAAUUGAGGUGUAUGUCAUCUCAGUUGUAUCCUAAUUCUUGGGCGUUUGUGAGAGGGUUUGAAAUUUUGAUAGAAUAUUUAAAAGUAGAACCUUUGUUAGAGGCAUUCUUUGCAUUGUUCCAGGCUAAGGGUGUGAAAAGGGAGUGUUGGUUGAACUUAGCUAGUAUGCCUAACCGAGCUAUAUUUUGUUUGUAUAGGUUGUCGUUUAAAGGUUUCAAAAUUAUGUAUACGAAAGUGAGGUCAUGUGAAAAUGAUUUUUCUUUUUAUGUGGAUGAGAAUUUGAAGGAGAAAUUUUCAUUAUAUUGGUAUCCUACUUCGAGGCAUAUUAUCGAUAUGGAGAGGAUGGAGUAUAUAAAUGAGAUAAUUGUUGAGUUUUUGGUGAAUAACAUUUUGACGAGUAGUUUACUGAUUAUUUUUGAGUUGCUUGAGUGAAAAAAUGAUAAACAUGCAGUGAUUGAAUAUUUAGGUGAAAAGGCGCCAAAGAUAACUUCGAGUAGCUUGCGCGCUUUCUUUAAAACAAAGAAUGUGGAGAAGGAGGGGUCAACCAGUCAUGUGAAGGCUGACGAAGGGAUUGAAGUUAAUCAACCUUCUCCUGUAAAGAGGGUGAAUUAUAAAAGAAAAAGAGUUGAUAAAAACAAGGUGAUUGAUUUGAUCGAGAACAAGUUCGGCGAGAAAGAAACUGAUUUGGAGCAGGUGAAGAAAUUUACUGAGAACCAAAGGAUACUACAUGGAUACAAGGAUAACGAAGACCUUACAUAGCUAUGGAAUGACCACUUCCCUUUCGUGUUAGUGUCUGAUGAGUAUGGAUAGAGUCUGACCGAUGUUAAGCUUGUCCAUGACGUUGGCGAUAUUGGUGUUAUGCAGUACUUACAGGCAAGGUAAUGGGAGCGCGGCUAAUGUCAAUUAAUCAAACUCAAAAGCUAAAGCAUGCGAGUGAUGACUUUGACAAAGCUAGCAUAAAUCAGGUGAUGUAAGAGAAUUUGGAGAAAAGUAACAAGUUUUGAGAAGUGCUGGAGAAGGUUAAGGUGUUGGAAGAGAAGAUAAGUGAAGUUGAUGGAAAGGUUAUAAAGUUGGAGAAGGAGAAAGUUAGUUUGUAAGCUAGGAUAGUUGUGCUAGGGAUCGAGAAAAAGGAGCUGGAGACUCGGAAAGAGGAUCAUGGUCUUGAGAUGUUCGUUGCUGAUUUUGAGAGAGCUGUGCUGCUGUGGAGCAAGUGAAGUUUCUGGCUCCGGAUGGACUUGACUGUUAUGGACUCAUGCAAGGUUGUGGUUAAUGGAGAAUUGAUAGAAGAUGAGGAUCAAUAUAAGGAGGGGGAGGGCGAGAAUCCUGAUGCACCAUGAAGGCAGAUUGUAAAAGAAUAUGACUAGUAAUGGUAUUAGGUUAUUUUUAUUUUGCUUGUGUUGGUGUUUUGGAGAACU